rnacentral:rRNA from 1 species
CCUACGGGGGGCAGCAGUCGAGAAUCAUUCACAAUGGGGGAAACCCUGAUGGUGCGACGCCGCGUGGGGGAAUGAAGGUCUUCGGAUUGUAAACCCCUGUCAUGUGGGAGCAAAUUAAAAAGAUAGUACCACAAGAGGAAGAGACGGCUAACUCUGUGCCAGCAGCCGCGGUAAUACAGAGGUCUCAAGCGUUGUUCGGACUCACUGGGCGUAAGGCGUGCGUAGGCUGUUUCGUAAGUCGUGUGUGAAAGGCGCGGGCUCAACCCGCGGACGGCACAUGAUACUGCGAGACUAGAGUAAUGGAGGGGGAACCGGAAUUCUCGGUGUAGCAGUGAAAUGCGUAGAUAUCGAGAGGAACACUCGUGGCGAAGGCGGGUUCCUGGACAUUAACUGACGCUGAGGCACGAAGGCCAGGGGAGCGAAAGGGAUUAGAUACCCCAGUAGUC